UCAAAACUACAGCCCGGUGGUCACUCUCCUAAUUUAGUCUCCAGGCCCCUCCCUUUGUGGUGCCGUCAGCGAUGAAGGCUGGUGGGAAAGCACCCUGUGGAAGUCGGCGACCUGGAAGCAAGGCCUGGCCCCGUCUGACUCACGGAGUGACUACGGGCAACCAAGGACCGUCAGUGUCCAGGCCCUUCUACCCACAGCCUUCAGAAGGAUGGCCAACCGCAGAGACGUUUACACCUCCCUUCCCACACGAGCCCUGAGGUCCCUGACAUCAUCUCCCCAGGGCAGAGGAGCUGGGCAGGUGCCCAGGGACGUCCCUGGCAUGUCCCUCGUUCCUCCAUCGCCCCAGCUGAAGUGCAUUAGAACACCGCCGCUCCUCCCCAGCCCUCUGAAAGGACUUCAGCUCCACCGACAUACAAAGGUUCAGCAGCGUGGCCCUGUCAAGGUCAAGGCUGGACGUACUUACAGCGUUGCACGUUGUGAGCUGUCAGAGGUAAGACGGCGGCACCCAGGCUGGAGUGUCCCUCUGCCAUGUGGUCGCAUCUCCAGACCUUUGCCCGUGCUGUCCCCCUGCCUGGACGGUCCCCCGGCGUAUGGAGCAGAGGAAGCUGCAAGGCCAGGGUCCUCCUGGACCACCUGGGCCUCUGAGGUGACAGCAGAACUUUCCCAGAGAGACUAUUUAUUUCGGGCUGUGGCUCCCUGUGGCCGGCCGGCCCUGCCAGCCUGCUGCCCAUCGCAACACUCUUGGCAGCUAAUUAGGGAGGCGUCCUCCUGGAGGCCCAGGAGAGAGGCUGGCACUGAGCACUGGCCCCAGGGGAGCCCGUCCGGGCGGGUAGCGGGCAGGGGCCUGUGGCCGCAGAGACCCACGGUAGCUGCUUCUUAUAGCCUGAUGCCACCCAGAAACCCAAGGAUGGGUCUUCCCCUCGACUUCCCUUAACCUGGAAACUGCUUUUCUUGACACUUACAACUAUUUCAUGGCAAAUUGGAGGCGUUCCCAGGAUGCUUGAUUGGACAUGAAUCUCUGGUCUCCCCAGAAGUCAGGCAGAGGUUCUGCAAAGUGGGACAGCAUGCCCACCAGCUCGGGGCAACUUUUCCUCACCUGCACAGUGGGUGGACUCACCCGCCCGCCCCCAGAUGUUGCUGUAUGACUGGGUCGCCCAUCCUGUCCUCGGCCCCUUCCGGCCGCAGCCUCUGUGUAUGAGGUGUCUCUUGGGGCUGGCACGCCUCACCGUGCUGUCUUGCUCUCAGGCCCUACAAGGGGUUAAGCAGGCUGGAAGCCAGAGGCUGGACAGGGCAAGGAGGCGUCUUCAUCUGGGGCCGUGUACAGGAGGCCACGGGCCAGCCUCGUGACCAGCGGACGGGUUAGCACCUCCAGGAACCUGGCUGACGUCCCACCCACAGGACAUCUCACCCACACAUCCACAGAUGACACUCAUAUCCCAACCACCUUCCUCCUCUCUCUCCUGACCUCCAGACCUAUAGACACAGCUGCGUCCUGAGCUCCACAGCCCUUCCCGUCCUGUGUCCCCCCGAGCUAGCUCAAAUGCAACACCCCCAAAACUCAGCACACCCUCUUCCAUCCCGUGUCCUGUGUCCUCGGCUCAGAGCUGGGCACCACCAUCCCAAAUGCUCUCCAAACCUGGGCACCACCAUCCCAAAUGCUCUCCAAACCUGGGCGCCAGCCUGGACCUUCCCUUUCCCUCACUUUGAUGUCCAGUGGAUGCCGUCCUCCAUCACAAGCAGUUCCAGGCUCUGAGCCGGGCCUGUCCUCCCAC
rnacentral:lncRNA from 1 species